GUUUAAAUUUGGCCUACAACGUGACGUCAUACCUGCGUCACUCUACAGUAGCCUACAGCCGAAAACUGAACUAUUUUAAUGUGAUUUUAGUGUGAAAUGUUUGCUAAUAUUUUCUGUAUUAAGUUAAAUAUAUUUACUAAGUUGCGGUGACAAUGAUCUGCCAUAUACUGUACAGUGAAACCCUAAAUAAACUGCAAAAAUGAUAUAGGAUCAAAUAAUACACCGGUUUUAACAUAAGAACUGAUGCACUGAUAUUGCUGUGGUCAUAAUUAUGACACUGUCUUCAGUUCACACAAAUGACUGCACAAGUCUAAAACCAAAAAGAGCACAUUUGGGAUAGAGUAAGGAGGCCUUGUGUGUUGAUAAAUCAGCAUGGACUGAAAUCAUUUUUGGAUCCAUGUUAGGAAAAAUUCAGGCUAUUCUGGAUGUUUUCUUUGUUUGUUUUUCUUUUUCAAUAAGUAUACACAGCAAUAUGUGUAUUUUAGAAAGGUGCACAACGCACUUCAUCAAAUGAGAUGUAAACAAGCUGUGGAUCAGCACUUCUGCUAAUUGACUCUCUUGGUAUAUGAUUGUUUUGAGUACAGGAACACCUUGUUCCUUUCCUCACCGCACAGCUCAGUUUUUGGCACAGGGCGGUUCCAAAAAAAAAAAAAAAAAAAAAACAUGUGGCAAACAGGUGCACUUGCCUAACUGGUUUACACCACCAGGUGGCCCUAAAUUUCCACAGUAGAGUAAGGCCCACCACCAGUACUCUAGGAAGGCUGACAAGAGCAAUGUGUUGAUGAUAAUCCUACUGCCACAUUUAGAUUAUAGUGCAUGGCAUCUGUUUGUGAGGGGCAUGAAGCAAUGGAGGAGAGCAGGCCGGGACAAACUCUCAAAUUACACAAGGCAACGAGGACACAAACCACAAAUGAAGGAACCCACACAAGGUUCUGGCAAAUGUUAUGGAGAAAGCAUGGAAAAACGUGUGUGAAUCAGCUGUUUGGCGAUGGACGAAUGAACCAGCCUUUUGGCAAAGUACCAGUCCAGUAGAAGAUAAAGAGACAGGAAGAGACAGGUGCCUGUGGCGUUGUGGUUGGACACACCCACGGAGUGGACUCUGUUCAGCCGAAAGAAAAGGUCACAGAAAUGUCGUGCAGUCAUGUCCUUAGACAAGGUGGAAGAUAUGCAAUUGGCCCCUGCUCCGUCAUCAUCAAGGAGACAGUUUGGCAAGGAGGAAUCGGACACUGAUGCCGUCGCUAACUGUGUCAAGGACGCAGAAGCCAAACCUGUUACAGUUCACCUGUUAAAGACCUGAGAACACAAAUGCAGAGAGGAACUGACCCACUAAACCAACUUAACUGUACACUCGUCCUUAAAUUAAAGGUAUAGUUCACCCCUAAAUCAUUAUUUACUCACUGUUUGUUUAAGUGGAACACAAAAAUAAUUUGUAAUUAAUUUUCAUGUGGCUGGUUUCCAUACAAUGAUAUUUAAUAGUGACCUGUGGAGUUCCAAAAAGCUCUAUAAACUGUUUGACUUGUCUAUAUUUCAA